ensembl:lncRNA
GUAAACGAUUGCAAAUCAGAAUAAUAACAUAACUGCACUUGUAGCCGCGGAGAAUUAGCCAGCCAGCGCUACUUAAACAAACAGAACAAAGCUUGUCCCGUCUUUCAUUAUUUUUAGAGGGGAGAGAGCCGAGGAACUCUUCCAAACACAAACAAACGAGCGAACAAAUCGCGCCGUCCUUCUGCGCGGUGCCGCGGCCGCUCCGGCCUCGGCCUGGGCGACAGCGGGCACGGCCCGGGCUUCCCUCCCACCGCCAUGGAGAGGGGAAUACAAUUAGCAGAGCCUGGCCGGGCUGCGAGAAAGCCGGGCCGAAGCGGGGGGACGCGGUUGUUGGGAACGCGCCCCUGCUAAAAGCAAGCCAGGGGAGAAUUAUUGUUAUCAUUAUUAAUAAUUAUUUCAUUAAAAGAUAUCCAAGCAGCGAGGUAAAAGAUUGCCUACGUAGAGGAAAAAGGUUGCCCGCACCUCGUAGUGAGGGAGAACGCGACCCUCCCCUCCCCUCGCCAAAAAGAAGGCAAAAGUGGAAAUCUCGAAGUUCGCAGAAGCGCCCUCGAGCGCGGCUGCCGCCCGGGGAGCGCUACUGGCGCGGGUCGCGGACUCACCUCUGCAGCGCCAAAGAGGCUCGCAAACACCUCGAAGACAAGUUGAAAACGAUGCAAAUAAAUCGAAUUUAUUUCCGUCUGCAGAUUGGGGGGUGAAGAAGAAGGAAAAAAAAAAUGCCGGGAUAAAGGAGGCAAGCCCAGGCUCCCUAGGAUUGUAAUGUCAAGGCGAGGGAGCCUUCCAGCUAGAAGCCGAUUUGUGGUCUCAAACAAAUUAAAUAUUACUGUUUAUUACCAGCCAUACUCCAAUAAAAUAAAGAGAGUUCAAGGCGAUAGCUGCUAUCUCACGAGCUUUGCUCCUAUAGGACACGGAGACGUCACCAACCACGCAACUGGCCUAUUCUGUCAUGGUUGACUGCAGCAGUAAUGGAAGGUUAAUUUGUAUUAUUCUCCUCUUUUAAAGCCCUAUCAGUGAGACUCCUGUGUUUUUUUGGUUUUUUUUUUCCUGGUUUUUUUUUUCCUUUCCCUUUUCUUUUUUUUUCUUUUUCUUUUCUUUUCUUUUUUUUUUUUUCCUCCAAAGAAACCAUUCGGCUCUAUGCAAAAUACACUGAGGCUGCACGCACCCUCUGUAUGCGUAUGCAUAGACACGAAUGCAUCACACAACGCACGCACAAGUAUGUACGUGGGUGUGAGGGAGUGUGCGUUCUAUACGAGUGUGCAUCACCAAAGAGAGCACGGAGUAUCUGGAAACUCCGGGAAAAUCCACUCUUGGAGUGGAAAAGAGGGAAACGAGUAGCAAAGCUCCCGCCUCACCAGGAGCAGCUCGCUUAAUCCAGCGGUCCUGGCACGGCUUAGAUUAGUUUUUUUAGGAAAUCAAUUAUUGUUAAUAAUAAUAAUAAUAAUAAAAACACUCUUGGAGAGAAACUUGUCAAAUGAAUGCUCAGGCGCCUUUGGAAGCAAGCACUCUGGGCUAUAUAUAGUAAAUGAUAACCUGGUUAUUUGCACUGAUUCGAGUGUGCUUCGGGAACCAAUUAUUUUCUCUGAUUUAAAAAAAAAAAAGUAGGAAAUCGAGGCGAUUAUUUGCCAAAUGAGAUUGAUAAGUUAAAAAAAAAUUAAAAGAAAAGAAAAGAAAGAAAAGCCCCAAACCCCCAAAUGCCUCCGAAUGCAGUCGGUGGCUGCAGUGGAGCCGUCGCUCCCACCGCCCUCUUCCCCUCUCCCAUCGCUCCCUUAACCUGCGCGGGUUUCGCGAUGCACUCGCGGCAGAGAUUUCGCCAAAGAUGCUCAACCGUUGUUUCCUCCAACAGAAAGAGAGAGGAGGAGGAGGAGGAAGAGGAGGAGAAAUAGGGAGAGGGAGAAAAAGAAGGAGCAUCACUUAAAGAAGAGCGAGAAGUUGCUGCAGGACUGGGGUGUCAAUCAGGACUUUAUCUCGGGCCGAAGGAGAAAAUAAAAGAAGAUAAGGCCUCGCUCUCACCCUGGGAAGAAAGCUAAUGGGGCAAGAGGGGGAAAGUCUUCAGCGCCCCGUGCCUCUCCCGGAUAGUGUUCUUGUAGUGACCUUGAGCUGCUGCCGGGGUGGGCAGAAGGGCCUGAGCCGAGCGGCUGCUCCCAUCCUCUGCCCGAGGGACACCUGCGAUUUUCAGUUGUCCCCUCCUUUGCCCCAAGGCGGCCCCACCGCCGCCCGUGGAAGCCGACCCCCGGCGUCGCGCAGCCCCCGGGCCCGCUUCCUCCCUCCCUGACAUCCUUCCUAUUUUUUUUCUUUCUCAUCUUCCUCCUUGCCAAUCCCUCUCUCCUUCUUCCUUCCUUUUCUCGUUUUUCCUUUUUUUUUCCCCUCUCCCCACGUCCUCCAUCUUCCCCCCUUCUCCCGCCCCCGCCCCGCACAGCGAAAACUCAGACAAGGCUGGCAGAGCCGUCGUGAGCACAUCCUUCACCUUAACCGAACCUCACAAAUUUCGGGACCCUUUCCUAGCCCCAUUACCAACCCCACUCCCAGACUCAAUUCCCAGCCCCGUUCUCAUCCCCAUUCACAGCCCCGCGUCUCGUACUACGGCCGUAACCCGGCUCCGUGUGGCUGCCCCGGGCAUCCCAGAAAUACUCGCUGUGCUCAAGGUGAAAAUACAGAUUAUACAUAUCACCUAAGCGGCUCCUGAAAAGUUUGGUUUGUUUUCUUCAGCUCACGUUAAGCGCAAAAAAAAAAAUAGAAUGGGUGAAAGGGGGCAUUCGCUUUCACCAAAAAAGAGCAUUUCCCCCCGGUCCAUGCCCUCGUCCUUUGUGCAAAGGUUGGAUGAGGCCAACGUGGUAAACGCGUAAAUCUGUAGAUCUGUGAGCGCAGAGAGGAGCUGGGAUUGGGACGGGCAGAACCAGCGGCUGCAGACGGUGAGGCCGGACCGUACUCUGCUGCCGGGACUGGGAGAUAUCCCGAGAGCUUUCAUCCUCACAGAGGUGAGGAUCCGGGUGCGAAGAGCCGCUCUGGUUGGCACAGGGUUUGGUGAAGCCAAUGUCUCGCAAGGACACGUGCACGCGCACCUCUACAUCGCAGUAAAAAUUAGACCUUUUCCACGUGCACCGAAACGGAUAUGUGCUUGUCUCGUUUGGUCCGGACGGAGCAGUGGCUGUGUGCACAGAAAAACGUGCUUCGAGAGAACACUCGGAGCUCAUUCCGUGCCCGUCUGCUCUGGGAGGCGGACGUGCACGUUUACCUGCUCGGCUGCGCUGUCGCGGGCUGCGGGAGCGGAUCUCCUGCCUUCGGGAGCACACUUUAGGCAUCACGCGAUUGGAAACCAUUCGUUUCCGACGAAUAUUUUCUUUUAUUCGGGGAAAAAUAAUCUGCUCCGACCUCAGUGCCAACGACUCCGAGCAGAGAGCCGGGCGUUACCUGCGGGUCCGGACUCCGAACCCCCCCACCCGCACCCGUGGCCGCAGCAGCGUCGCUCGAGACAAUGCCUAUUUUCUGUCAUUAAUAACUCGUUUCUUUAAGGGAAAAAAAAAAAAUCUCGUUUGGAUUCAAGAUUGUUUUUUAUGAUUCAGUUGGACAAGACGGAACACAUGUUAGUUUAAGCAGGUUCAUGAAAUAGCUGUAAAUCAAAUAAAGUUUACGAGUUUAGCAGGAAAUACUGAAUAGAUGAAAAAAAAAAAAAAAAAACCCUCAGCCGAGGCAGAGAACAGCGGGCUGAAAGAGCCGGUGGAGUUUGUCCUGCUCUGUGUUUCUCUCUGUUCUCUCGUGCAUCUUGCCGAUUAAAGGCCUCGAGACCCCGUGUUGGCG